rnacentral:misc_RNA from 1 species
GAAAUGCGAUAAGUAAUGUGAAUUGCAGAAUUCAGUGAAUCAUCGAAUCUUUGAACGCACAUUGCGCCCGUUAGCAUUCUAGCGGGCAUGCCUGUCCGAGCGUCAUUUCAACCCUCAGGGCCCCCCGUUCCGGCGGGCGGACCUGGCGUUGGGGAUCGGCCCGCCCCGUGCGGCGCCGUCCCCCAAAUACAGUGGCGGUCCCGCCGCAGCCUCCCCUGCGUAGUAGUUUACAACCUCGCAUCGGAGCGCGGCGCGGCCACGCCGUAAAACACCCAUCAUCUCACAAGGUUGACCUCAGAUCAGGUGGGAAUACCCGCUGAACUUAAGC